rnacentral:rRNA from 1 species
UGGGGAAUUUUGGACGAAUUGGGCGAAAGCCUGAUCCAGCAAUGCCGCGUGUGUGAAGAAGGCCUUCGGGUUGUAAAGCACUUUUGUCCGGAAAGAAAUCCUUGGCUCUAAUACAGUCGGGGGAUGACGGUACCGGAAGAAUAAGCACCGGCUAACUACGUGCCAGCAGCCGCGGUAAUACGUAGGGUGCAAGCGUUAAUCGGAAUUACUGGGCGUAAAGCGUGCGCAGGCGGUUUGCUAAGACCGAUGUGAAAUCCCCGGGCUCAACCUGGGAACUGCAUUGGUGACUGGCAGGCUAGAGUAUGGCAGAGGGGGGUAGAAUUCCACGUGUAGCAGUGAAAUGCGUAGAGAUGUGGAGGAAUACCGAUGGCGAAGGCAGCCCCCUGGGCCAAUACUGACGCUCAUGCACGAAAGCGUGGGGAGCAAA